rnacentral:rRNA from 1 species
UAGGAAAUCUUCCACAAUGGACGCAAGUCUGAUGGAGCAACGCCGCGUGAGUGAAGAAGGUUUUCGGACCGUAAAGCUCUGUUGUUGGUGAAGAAGGAUAGAGGUAGUAACUGGCCUUUAUUUGACGGUAAUCAACCAGAAAGUCACGGCUAACUACGUGCCAGCAGCCGCGGUAAUACGUAGGUGGCAAGCGUUGUCCGGAUUUAUUGGGCGUAAAAGCGAGCGCAGGCGGAAGAAUAAGUCUGAUGUGAAAGCCCUCGGCUUAACCGAGGAAUUGCAUCGGAAACUGUUUUUCUUGAGUGCAGAAGAGGAGAGUAGAACUCCAUGUGUAGCGGUGGAAUGCGUAGAUAUAUGGAAGAAUACCAGUGGCGAAGGCGGCUCUCUGGUCUGCAACUGACGCUGAGGCUCGAAAGCAUGGGUAGCGAACAGGAUUAGAUACCCUGGUAGUCCAUGCCGUAAAACGAUGAGUGCUAAGUGUUGGGAGGCUUCCGCCUCUCAGUGCUGCAGCUAACGCAUUAAG